rnacentral:rRNA from 1 species
CCCACCUUUAAGUAAGGGUCUAGACCCCACACACGCCACUCGGUAAGGAAUUGGCCCUAUAGCUCAGCUGGCUAGAGCACGCUGGCUAGAAUCGUGAGGUCAGUGGUUCGAGUCAACUUGGGCCCACCAAAUGAGGCUGUAGCUCAGUUGGGAGAGCACCUGCUUCGCAAGCAGGGGGUCACCUGUUCGAGCAGGGGGUCCUCUACCACAGGGACAGAAGGCCCGCAAAGGCACACGACUAGGUCAGUGGUUCGAGUCCACUUGGGCCCACCAAAUGGGGUGGAUAACGCUUUAGGUAUGUAGUAAGUAAGGUGAUAUUGAUCACUGCCCACUCGGAAGACUGUAGCUCAUUGACUGCGUUAAUUUGUUCAUGCCUUGGCCACAGGGAUAAGGCGAUGUUUGUCAUCUUGCCGACGGCAGACCUCCANGUGGAUGCUUGGGGAUAUAUGGUCAAGUGAAUAAGGGCAUACGGUGAAAUUGCCUGGACC